UGCCCAGCAACUCCUAUCCCUACCUCCACGCGGUACCGGCCGGAAACUAUGAGCAACCUUAGGGAAGAUCGGGUAACCAACCCCGGUGGGAACUUUGGAUGUAUGCUGACAGGGAAGC
rnacentral:ribozyme from 1 species